UGAGGAAUAUUGGUCAAUGGGCGAGAGCCUGAACCAGCCAAGUAGCGUGCAGGAUGACGGCCCUAUGGGUUGUAAACUGCUUUUAUAAGGGAAUAAAGUGAGUCUCGUGAGACUUUUUUGCAUGUACCUUAUGAAUAAGGACCGGCUAAUUCCGUGCCAGCAGCCGCGGUAAUACGGAAGGUCCGGGCGUUAUCCGGAUUUAUUGGGUUUAAAGGGAGCGUAGGCCGGAGAUUAAGCGUGUUGUGAAAUGUAGACGCUCAACGUCUGCACUGCAGCGCGAACUGGUUUCCUUGAGUACGCACAAAGUGGGCGGAAUUCGUGGUGUAGCGGUGAAAUGCUUAGAUAUCACGAAGAACUCCGAUUGCGAAGGCAGCUCACUGGAGCGCAACUGACGCUGAAGCUCGAAAGUGCGGGUAUCGAACAGGAUUAGAUACCCUGGUAGUCCGCACGGUAAACGAUGGAUGCCCGCUGUUGGUCUGAACAGGUCAGCGGCCAAGCGAAAGCAUUAAGCAUCCCACCUGGGGAGUACGCCGGCAACGGUGAAACUCAAAGGAAUUGACGGGGGCCCGCACAAGCGGAGGAACAUGUGGUUUAAUUCGAUGAUACGCGAGGAACCUUACCCGGGCUUGAAUUGCAGAGGAAGGAUUUGGAGACAAUGACGCCCUUCGGGGUCUCUGUGAAGGUGCUGCAUGGUUGUCGUCAGCUCGUGCCGUGAGGUGUCGGCUUAAGUGCCAUAACGAGCGCAACCCCUCUCCUUAGUUGCCAUCAGGUCAAGCUGGGCACUCUGGGGACACUGCCACCGUAAGGUGUGAGGAAGGUGGGGAUGACGUCAAAUCAGCACGGCCCUUACGUCCGGGGCUACACACGUGUUACAAUGGCAGGUACAGAGAGAUGGUGUUCUGCAAAGCGCAUCAAAUCCUUAAAGCCUGUCUCAGUUCGGACUGGGGUCUGCAACCCGACCCCACGAAGCUGGAUUCGCUAGUAAUCGCGCAUCAGCCAUGGCGCGGUGAAUACGUUCCC
rnacentral:rRNA from 1 species